UUUCCAUUGAAAUUAUCUUCCAUUCCAUUCAUAAUUGGAUUACGAAAUUCCUUCGUUAUCAGUCCUACAUUUUGUUUGAGUGAUCUCUUUCAUCUAUCGUCCGCAUCUGACAGUGUUUUUGUUCUUCUUCGACAUGUCUUGGAGGUGUUGUGUUUCCGGUUGUGGUUCCGAAGGAGUACCUUUAUUUCAUAUUCCAAAAUUUAAUGAAAGUUUAAAAACUGCUUUGCAAGAAAAAAAAAAGGGGUCGUAGAAUUGUUUGGCUUCAAAAGCUUAACGUGAAGGAAUGUGACUUAAACAACAACACUCGUGUUUGCUCUCGUCAUUUUGCAUCUGGUAGGCCAUGUAAGAAUUCUUUCGAUAACUCUCACCCAGACUGGGCACCUUCACUACACAUCAGCAAUUCCAUUUUUGACAGGGUUGUACAGAGAAACAUAAGUCGACAUUCCAGAAGGCUUGAAAGGGAAUCAAGAACAUUGGAACAGAU